CUUGAUCAACACAAUACAAUACAAUACUCCAAAUGGGGAACACUGCAGUGCUUUUAGGGAAACAACAAAAAGGAACAAAAGAAGCCGAGGACAGAGACUAGAUUUUUGGCCAGUCAGAGCCAGCCAACUAAAGUGAUGCAGCUAUUACUUCAUCUGGUAACCUUCAGCUCUUCCCUUACACUGCAUGCAGCAAGUAAGUGUGGAAGUAGCUGCAACUGGGUGCAAAUUAAAACUGGAAGCUGCUGUGAAACCUUAAAGGUCAUUAUUACAAAGGCUGCGGAAGAACACUGCUAGUGCAAUUAACACUCUAAUGCCAUUUGGAGUGUGACAGGAACUCCUGAGAGCCAGUGUUCCACAUCUGAAAGCAGAAAAGAAAUAACAAAGAAGAUACAAGAUAGAGCCAACGAAAUUAAAAAUGACUUUUAACGCCUGUGGUAAGAAGGAACUUGUCUUAAGCUGUGGAGCUGUUAGUUGUGUAACAAGAAUAUACAUUCCAAUAAAAUUGACCUUUCUAUUGAUCUACUUUUAAAUUAGGGGAAAAAAAUAAAAAUUCUA